UGGCGAGUGGCGGACGGGUGAGGAAUACAUCGGAAUCUACUCUGUCGUGGGGGAUAACGUAGGGAAACUUACGCUAAUACCGCAUACGACCUACGGGUGAAAGCAGGGGAUCUUCGGACCUUGCGCGAUUGAAUGAGCCGAUGUCGGAUUAGCUAGUUGGCGGGGUAAAGGCCCACCAAGGCGACGAUCCGUAGCUGGUCUGAGAGGAUGAUCAGCCACACUGGAACUGAGACACGGUCCAGACUCCUACGGGAGGCAAG
rnacentral:rRNA from 1 species